GAACGAGACCUUCGGGUCUAGUGGCGCACGGGUGCGUAACGCGUGGGAAUCUGCCCUUUGCUUCGGAAUAACAGUUAGAAAUGACUGCUAAUACCGGAUGAUGUCUUCGGACCAAAGAUUUAUCGGCAAAGGAUGAGCCCGCGUAGGAUUAGGUAGUUGGUGGGGUAAAGGCCUACCAAGCCGACGAUCCUUAGCUGGUCUGAGAGGAUGAUCAGCCACACUGGGACUGAGACACGGCCCAGACUCCUACGGGAGGCAGCAGUGGGGAAUAUUGGACAAUGGGCGCAAGCCUGAUCCAGCAAUGCCGCGUGAGUGAUGAAGGCCUUCGGGUCGUAAAGCUCUUUUACCAGGGAUGAUAAUGACAGUACCUGGAGAAUAAGCUCCGGCUAACUCCGUG
rnacentral:rRNA from 1 species